rnacentral:rRNA from 1 species
UACGUAGGGUCCGAGCGUUGUCCGGAGUUACUGGGCGUAAAGCGCGCGCAGGUGGCGGUGCUGGCCCGGCGUGAAAGCCCCCGGCUCAACCGGGGAGGGUCGUCGGGGACCGCACCGCUUGAGGGCGGUAGGGGCUGGUGGAAUGCCUGGUGUAGUGGUGAAAUGCGUAGAGAUCAGGCGGAACACCCGUGGCGAAGGCGGCCAGCUGGGCCGUCCCUGACGCUGAGGCGCGAAGGCGUGGGGAGCGAACGGG